CAGGACGAACGCUGGCGGCGUGCCUAAUACAUGCAAGUCGAACGGUCUUUCUAUGGAAGCUUGCUUCCACUGAGAAGAUAGUGGCGAACGGGUGAGUAACACGUGGGUAACCUGCCCAUAAGAGGGGGGAUAACAUCCGGAAACGGGUGCUAAUACCGCAUAGUUUUCUUGAUCGCAUGAUCGGGAAAGGAAAGACGGCCUUUGUGCUGUCGCUUAUGGAUGGACCCGCGGCGUAUUAGUUAGUUGGUGAGGUAACGGCUCACCAAGACGAUGAUACGUAGCCGACCUGAGAGGGUGAUCGGCCACAUUGGGACUGAGACACGGCCCAAACUCCUACGGGAGGCAGCAGUAGGGAAUCUUCCGCAAUGGACGAAAGUCUGACGGAGCAACGCCGCGUGAGUGAAAGAAGGUUUUCGGAUCGUAAAACUCUGUUGUCAGAGAAGAACAAGUUGGAGAGUAACUGCUCCAGCCUUGACGGUAUCUGACCAGAAAGCCACGGCUAACUACGUGCCAGCCGCCGC
rnacentral:rRNA from 1 species